rnacentral:rRNA from 1 species
CAGUAGCCACGGUAAUACAGAGGGUGCGAGCGUUAAUCGGAUUUACUGGGCGUAAAGCGUGCGCAGGCGGUUUUGUAAGACAGAGGUGAAAUCCCCGGGCUCAACCUGGGAACUGCCUUUGUGACUGCAAGGCUAGAGUACGGCAGAGGGGGAUGGAAUUCCGCGUGUAGCAGUGAAAUGCGUAGAUAUGCGGAGGAACACCGAUGGCGAAGGCAAUCCCCUGGGCCUGUACUGACGCUCAUGCACGAAAGCGUGGGGAGCAAACAGGAUUAGAUACCCCUGUAGUCCCUGUCUCUUAUAC